rnacentral:rRNA from 1 species
CACGUAGGGCGCAAGCGUUGUCCGGAAUUAUUGGGCGUAAAGGGCUCGUAGGCGGUUUGUCGCGUCGGGAGUGAAAACAGCGGGCUUAACUCGUUGCUUGCUUCCGAUACGGGCAGACUAGAGGUAUGCAGGGGAGAAUGGAAUUCCUGGUGUAGCGGUGAAAUGCGCAGAUAUCAGGAGGAACACCGGUGGCGAAGGCGGUUCUCUGGGCAUUACCUGACGCUGAGGAGCGAAAGUGUGGGGAGCGAACAGG